CACGUAAACGCGAGGUACCUUGGUGAAGACCACUGGUGAACUUUCUACAUGUGAACACUUACAAUACACAUGAUAAUGAAAACUAAUUGUCAAUCGCCAGGCUGGAGGACACGGAGAAUUCUCACAUUUUCGACGCAACGUCGUGAAACGAUUGAGAGGUUACCGAUCUGCAGUUGAACAUAUUAAGAAGUGCACAGAGCUACACUGCGAAUCGCCUCGCUGUAACCAGAUGAAUAGGGCCUAUAGGGACUAGAGAGGACACGGAGAAUCGACACGAUUUUGAAGCGACAUCGAGCAGCAAUUGAGUGGUUACCGAUCUCUAGUUAAACAUACCAACAGGAGCCAUUGCGAAAAAUUAACGAAAAUUACGUAAAUUAUUAAAAACAGAUCAUUCGU